AUGGAGGAUUCAUUUCUGGAAAAACGUUUUGCCCCUGGUGGCACCUGCAUUCUUAGUUACUCAGAGCUUGAUUCCCUAGCUUCUCACCCCUUUUUCCUACCAUCUGGGAUCCUGUCUGUGCUGAUUAUCAGCUCUGGAGAGAAAGAGUCAAAUCUGAAAUAUUUAGUGGCUCUGGCCAAGGGUCUGUUUGGACAGUCAGCUAAAAUGAAUGGCUUCGUGGUGGAUUGGGGCUCUCUCUUUGCAGUGCCACCCAAAGAUGACAAGAAGAAGAAGGAUGCCGGAAAGUUGGCCAAGAAAGACAAAGACCCAGUGAACAAAUCUGGGGGCAAUGCCAAAAAGAAGAAGUGGUCCAAAGGCAAAGAUCGGGACAAGCUCAAUAACAGUCUUGUUUGACAAAGCUACCUACGACAAACUCUGUAAGGAAGUUCCCAACUAUAAACUUAUAACCCCAGCUGUGGUCUCUGAGAGACUGAAGAUUCAAGGCUCCCUGGCCAGGGCAGCCCUUCAGGAGCUCCUUAGUAAAGGACUUAUCAAACUGGUUUCAAAGCACAGAGCUCAAGUAAUUUACACCAGAAAUACCAAGGGCGGAGAUGCUCCAGCUGCUGGUGAAGAUGCAUGAAUAGGUCCAACCAACUGUACAUUUGGAAAAAUAAAACUUUAUUAAAU